CUCAUCAAAUGCAACAACGCUAGGGUAAUCUAAUUCGGGCGAGACCACAUCCUGAACGAUUUUUCAUAUGCAAUAUGACUGAAUAUUUCACAAAAAUCCUUAUCUUUAACCUCUUUAUCUGGUAUGUUUUUAAUUUCAUUUUUGAAUACAUAUUUAUUUCCUUAUUCUAGGUCAAAUAUAGAUAAGAGUUCUCUCUGAUUCAACAUAUACAUAAAGAUGCGAUUUCCAUUUUUAUCUAACAAAAUUUCUCCAAAAAAGGAAUGUUUAUGUUAAAUAAAUGAUGUAAGAGCACCUCCAUGGAGGUUAUUAAAGGAGGCUCUUAAAAAAAAAAAAAAAAAAAAUAAAUCAAAAAGGAGAUGAAAAAAAGAGAACUGGUGCUUAAUAUAGCAGUUUAAGAAUUGUUCUUUUGAUAUUGGCUAUUUCCUUUUAGACAAAAAGGGUUAAAAAUUUAUCCUUCUCUCUCUUCGAUGUUUUUUUUUUCUGAGAAAUCUCUUCGUCGAUCCGCGAUGGCUGCUAUGUGCUCCUCCAAAUCCGUCCAUGAAAUCCACCGUGAAGGAGUUUGCUUUCAGAUAGGUAAGCUCGGGAAGAAAGCUAGAAAAUUUGCCAAGAAGAAUCUUCAGACUGUUGAGAAGAAGAACAUGAAGCAAAAGCCCUUUCUCAAACGCAAAGUUGCUAAAAGAAAAUGACGUUGGAUCAGAGCCAGGAGCUGAAGCCUUUGGUGAUCACCAAGUCGCUUGUGGCUAAGGACGAGGAUGUGGAUUUGGGAUCUGGGAUGAGUAGAGUCUCUAUCUUCUUUGGUACUCAGACUGAACCGCUGAAGGGUUUGCUAAGGAACUCGUUAUGGCUAAAACACUAGCUAGUUGUUAUGAUUCUGUUGUUGUUGACUUGGAUGUGGCUUCUGUUAUAUCAAAACAUUCUUAAAGUAUCUUUACAUUGUACGUUCUGAGUUACGUAGGUCUUAAAGACAUUCUUGUUUUCUUUUUUACAUUGUAUUAGCAAUAUGGUUUACAGUUUAGUUUUUGGUGUCUCUCUCAGCUAGAAGCAAGCGAAUCAAGAUCAUCGUUGCUAGCGGUAUCAGCCUCUGCGUGUUUAUAAUCUUAGUGCUUGCAGCAUUUGUGUGUUGGAGAUACAGAUUCAAACAAAAUGGUGAGACUCUUUUGUCUCUCUUUUGUUGUCUAUUCAUAGGUAGAUGUAUGGCCAAUUCUUAGAUGUGUUUCCACGUUUUCUUUAUAAGUUAAAACUAUGACUAUAAGCUAAGAACAACCACAUUGUGCUUCUCUCUUAUUUUUUUCCGCAGUUUAAAGAUUUUGUUUCUCUUACCA